rnacentral:rRNA from 1 species
GCACGGGAAGCCCCCUUCGGGGGGUGGAGAGUGGCGCACGGGUGAGUAACGCGUGGGAACCUAUCCCGGGGUGGGGGAUAACCACUGGAAACGGUGGCUAAUACCGCACGAUCCCUAAGGGGCAAAGCAGCGAUGCGCCCUGGGAGGGGCCCGCGUCCGAUUAGCUAGUUGGCGGGGUAAGAGCCCACCAAGGCGGUGAUCGGUAGCUGGUCUGAGAGGAUGAUCAGCCACACUGGGACUGAGACACGGCCCAGACUCCUACGGGAGGCAGCAGUAGGGAAUAUUGGACAAUGGGCGCAAGCCUGAUCCAGCCAUGCCGCGUGAGUGAUGAAGGCCUUAGGGUUGUAAAGCUCUUUCGCACGCGAGGAUGAUGACGGUAGCGUGAGAAGAAGCCCCGGCUAACUUCGUG